UCUCCUGGUUCUUGGUAGCCCAACUGCAGCUUUGUGCGGCCUGGCUGUUCUCCUGUACCUCUGAGUGGCAGUGGUGGUCCUGCAGCCCAUGGCCCUGUCCUCGGGCCCAGCUGAGGCUUCUCGGGUCUGAGACAGGUGUUCUUCCCCACACUGUGGAACCAGGCAGCACUAACUAGAGGCCCCUCUUGAUGCUGGAGCUGUGAAACUGAAUACAGAUGAACAUAAACCAUCCUCCCCCAGCUCCACACAGCUCAACAAGCAGGAGUUCUGAACUUUGGGUGACCAACUUUGUCCUUUGUGGGCUUGCUGCAAUGCAGAAACAUCCAGUCCCAGCUGAAGACAGACAGAAGGCUCAUACUUGGACAACAAUACAUCAUUCACUAAUUGUUACUUUAGAGAAAAUGCUGAUUAUAUUGAACUAUCUUACAUACUAAAG